UUUUACUAAUUUGUAGUCCCACCAUCAAUGUAUGAACAUUCAGUAAAUUUUUAAAUAUACAAUACAGUAUUAACCAUAGUCAUUAUGCUAUACAGUAGAUUUCUGGGACUUAUUCAGUUUGUAUAACUGAAACUUUGUACUUUUUUACUAAUAUGGUCCUGUUUCCUCCUCCCCCAGCCUUUGGCAACCACCAUUCUACUCUCUGCUUCUGUGUCAUGUAGUAUUUGUCCUUCUGUAUUGAACUUAUUUUACUUAGCAUAAAGAAAAUGGAAGCAUUUUCUUUUUUAAGACUGAAUAAUAAUCUAUCAUAUGUAUAUGCAACAGUUUUUAAUCUGUUCAUCCAUUGAUGGACAUUUUGGUUAUGUGUAUGAUCUGGCUAUUGUAAAUAAUACUGCAGUAAAUAUGAGAGUUCAGAUAUCUCUUUGAUAUCCUGGCUUUAAUUCCUUUGUAUUUAUAUCAGGAAGUGGGAUUACUACUUCAAUUGUUCGUUCUGUUUGUAAUUUUUUUAUGAACUUCCAUACUACUCUCCAUAGUAUCACCAAUUUACAUUCCCAAUAAUAGUAUAUAAGAGUUACCUUGUCUCCAUAUUCAUGCCAACACCUAUGUUUUUUAUAAUAGAAUUCUAACAGAUGUUGGGAGAAAUAUCAUUAUACAGUUGAUAACUGGUGAUGUUGAAUGCCUUUUCAUCUAUCUAUUGACUAUUUAUGUACCUUCUUUGGAAAAUGUUCAGUUCCUUUGCCCAUUUUUAAUUGUUUUCUUUUUCCUUUUUAUUUUGUGGUAUUGGGGAUUGUACCCAUGGGUGCUCUAUUGCUAAAUAACAGUACUGAAUUUGCACAUAUUUUUGUUUCUUUUUUAUAUUGAGACCAGUUCUCACUGAAUUGCACAGGCUGUCCUCCAACUUGCGAGCC
rnacentral:lncRNA from 1 species